GGAGGCGUGUCCGAGUGGUCUAUGGAGAUAGUCUUGAAAACUAUUAGACCUGAAAGGGUCUCGUGAGUUCGAAUCUCACCGCCUCCG
rnacentral:tRNA from 1 species